AUGUGACGGGUAGUGUCAAGGGGUUGAGCUGACGUCAUCAAUGAGCGCCCUAUUUUACGGGCCGUCUCCCGUUCUCUAGCAGUCCGCUGAGAGGAGAGUAACAGGUUUUGCCGGCCGAGUGGAGUCCCUUCGGACGUCGUUGGGGAGGGUUUAGCUCCUCAGCCUUUCCAGUGAGUUGCUGUGUGUGUGCGUGUGUGUGUGUGUGUGUGUGUUGCAUGUUUAUAGGUUGCACGGGUGAUUAGAUGAACUGGGGGAUUCGCUGUCUCCACACUGACGCUCGCCCCACCGCUGCUGUGUUUAGGGACCCGGGCAAGUACACAGAUUGUUCGUGAUAAACUGUCAGCCAAAUUAGAAUAGGUUUACGGUGUGUGUUUUUUACUGCUGUAAUAAUAAAUUAUUGUUUUGUACCACAAUAUGAUCUCUGUUCCUUGAGUAAACCGAACCUGUAUUGUCCAGUCCGGCUCAAGGACUUCCCCCUCUUAUAAUAAAGAAAAGACCCUGGUGUUAUCCCAGUAGUUAGAAAUAAAUCAGCCCCCCCCCCCCCCUACUUGGUGUCACAUUUGGCGUUGCUGGC
ensembl:lncRNA